GACGAACGCUGGCGGCGUGCCUAAUACAUGCAAGUGGGACGCAAGGGAACACACUGUGCUUGCACACCGUGUUUUCUUGAGUCGCGAACGGGUGAGUAACGCGUAGGUAACCUGCCUAUUAGCGGGGGAUAACUAUUGGAAACGAUAGCUAAUACCGCAUAAUAUUAAUUAUUGCAUGAUAAUUGAUUGAAAGAUGCAAGCGCAUCACUAGUAGAUGGACCUGCGUUGUAUUAGCUAGUUGGUAAGGUAAGAGCUUACCAAAGCGACGAUACAUAGCCGACCUGAGAGGGUGAUCGGCCACACUGGGACUGAGACACGGCCCAGACUCCUACGGGAGGCAGCAGUAGGGAAUCUUCGGCAAUGGACGAAAGUCUGGCCGAGCAACGCCGCGUGAGUGAAGAAGGUUUUCGGAUCGUAAAGCUCUGUUGUAAGUCAAGAACGUGUGCGAGAGUGU
rnacentral:rRNA from 1 species